rnacentral:rRNA from 1 species
UACGGAGGGUGCAAGCGUUGUCCGGAUUUAUUGGGUUUAAAGGGAGCGUAGGCGGCCUAUUAAGUCAGUGGUGAAAUCCAGCAGCUUAACUGUUGAACUGCCAUUGAUACUGAUUGGCUUGAGUACUGAUGAGGUAGGCGGAAUUGAUAGUGUAGCGGUGAAAUGCAUAGAUAUUAUCAAGAACACCGAUUGCGAAGGCAGCUUACUAAGGAGUAACUGACGCUGAGGCUCGAAAGCGUGGGGAUCGAACAGG